rnacentral:rRNA from 1 species
AAACUAACAAGGAUUCCCCUAGUAGCGGCGAGCGAAGCGGGAAGAGCUCAAAUUUAUAAUCUGGCACUUUACAGUGUCCGAGUUGUAAUCUCUAGAAGUGUUUUCCGCGUUGGACCGCACACAAGUCUGUUGGAAUACAGCGGCACAGUGGUGACACCCCCGUACACGGUGCGGACGCCCAGCGCUUUGUGAUACACUUUCGAAGAGUCGAGUUGUUUGGGAAUGCAGCUCAAAUUGGGUGGUAAAUUCCAUCUAAAGCUAAAUAUUGGCGAGAGACCGAUAGCGAACAAGUACCGUGAGGGAAAGAUGAAAAGCACUUUGGAAAGAGAGUUAACAGUACGUGAAAUUGUUGGAAGGGAAACGCUUGAAGUCAGACUUGCUUGCCGGAGCUUGCUUCGGUUUGCAGGCCAGCAUCAGUUUUCCGGGGUGGAUAAUGGCGGUUAGAAGGUAGCAGCUUCAGCUGUGUUAUAGCUUUCCGCUGGAUACAUCCUGGGGGACUGAGGAACGCAGCGUGCUUUUAGCGGGGGUUUCGACCUCUUCACGCUUAGGAUGCUGGUGUAAUGGCUUUAAACGAC